ensembl:lncRNA
GUUCUCUCCGCCCAGCGGCCGACCAGUUGCCAGCUGCUGAGGAGAAUGAGCUUGGAGCGGCAGGGCUUAACCCAGCGCGGCUCCGAGGUGAGUUGCUGAAGGACUCUGGGAGGCAGCUGCAACAGGGCAUCACUCAGUGUCCAAGUAUUUCCAUUUCUGAGAGCAAAAGGAAGAACUUAAGCGGGCGGCAGUUGGAGUGUAAAUUGCUUUGUAGUAUUUAAAAGCAGCGUGGAUCGUGGGCAGCUGAGCUGAAACAAACCAACAGGACUUCAUAUGAAAUCAUUGACCACCACGUGCUCCUUCCACCUCCAUUAACUCCUAAUUCUAGGCACAUGAGAGCCAAAGGAAACCACAGAGCCACAGGCACUCACUCACAGCCCUGAAGCAGCUGCUCACAAAGGCAGUGUCGCAGGGCGAGUGUCAGUCUGCCUGGCAAUCUCCUACAACUGAGGGGAAAUAAGAUACCAGAAUGGAUAAGCAGAAGUAACUGAGACUCUCCUGUCUGCCUGGACCUUCAGAGGCUGACUUCAGCUGAAGCACCAAGAGACAUCUUAUGGCUGAAUUCACACAUGAAAAACAUGACUCGAAUUGUUGUUAGCUAGCCUCACCGUACAAAGCACAGCACUGGAGAGAGCUGGAGAGUUGCAUCUUUAAUUGAUUUGCUCUGAGUCAUGUCUACAUCAGAGGGAUAGCUCGACUUGCACUGGAGGUACUAAUGGGGGAAAAUCAUUACCAUGCUCAGCAUAAUCAGAUAAAGAGGAAAUGGACUAGAGAGACAAGAAUCUGCGCAAGGGAAAAUGUGCUUCUGAGAAGAAAAGAGAAUUUUGAGGAGACUCUAUCCUGCUUAUGAGAGGACAUGGCUGUGAAAUGUUAACCAACCAAGGAUAUUAUUUGAAAAGAAAAAAAGUUAUUCAGCAAAAUGGAAAAAGUAAAGAAAGGAAAUGGCAUUGGAUAUUGAGAGGCAGCAUGAGCUAAGCGUGGCACAGCAGAAGAUAAGUGAUCAGAAAGAAGACUUGUUGACUUCAGACUUGGAACAUUCUUCUUUGAAUGCAGAGGCAGAUUUGGACACAGGGACACAGACGCACACAGAGAGAAGACAGCUGUGUGAAAUUGGAGGCAGAAAUUGGAGUGUGCUGCUACAGCCAAGGAAUGCCAAGGAUUGCCCGCAACCAUCAGAAUCCAGAAAGAGGCAAGAAAGGAUUCUUCCCUGGAGCCUUCAAAGAGAACAUGACCCAACAGACAUCUGGAUUUCAGACUUCUCGCCUCCAGAACUAUGAGAGAAUAAAUUUCUUUUGCUUUAGGUCAUCAGUUCGUGGUGAUUUCUUAUGGAAGCCCUAGGAAACUAGUACAGUCCGCAUCAUCCACGACAUGCCGACCAUAAUGGCCUUCUUUUAGAUCUUCAAACACAUGAAGUGCCUUGACUCCUUUGCAUAGGCUGUUCACUUCAUCUGGAAUGCUUUUCCUCAGAUCCCUCCAUGGCUGGCUUUUGCUUUUUGUUAAGGACCUACACAGGCCAGAGACCUUCCCUGAUGACCUAAAUUAAAGCAGGCAGUCAUUUACGCUCCACCACAUCGGUCUAAUUUAUGUCCUACAUAGAAACUAUAUUAAUAUUUUUCUUUUUUAUCUAUUUUGUUUCUUUGUGGGUUUGUUUAUUUUUUGUUCCUCCACCACUAGAAUAUAAACUUUAUGAGAACAAGAAUUUUAUGUUUGUUCAGUGCCCAGAAUAGAGUCUGUAGAAUGUAGACAUUAAAUAAAUAUUCACUGAAUGAAUGAAUGAAGUCAUAUUUCUUUUUUACCUCUUGAACAGAAUAUUGUGAUGUCAUAGGACAAGAUCCUGAAAAAUAUUUUAUUAGUUUCAAUUUUAUAAACAGCUAUUGUACAUCUUUAUGAGCAGGAUAAUUUUAUUUUUUUAAUUUUAGUUAGUAAAAUUGGGCUUGCAAAAAAUUAUUUCAUGGAUAUUCUUUUACAUCGGAAUAACUUGCCACAGUAUUGGUACCUGAAAAUACCUUUCCACUGUGUGGUUACUCUUAAUUUUUCCAAGUCAGCUACCGACAGGAAAAUAAACUUUCAGCAAAUUUUCCUUCUUUUAGUCAACAAAUUCCUAAAGGUAGUAGUUGAUAUAUUCUGUGGUGUUCAGUUAACUUGUCAAGAAUACAAAGUACAAUCUGAUUUGCUCUUUCCUGAAAAUCUUAAUGUAGUUGGGUGUAAUGCAUGAAUAUGUAAGAGUAUGCUUGUGAAGGAACAUGAUGGGUUGUAUGGAACUGAGAACUUCUCUAGUUUCCUCUCUAGGAAGUGUUUUUCUUAAAUAUAUUCAAGGCAAAUGACCUCCUCUGUUUGAUAACUUUGGUGAAACUCUUGCCUACAGUUUUAUAGUGUGUGGCACUAAUGACUUCCCUAAAGUGUUCUGGACAUUUUUUUGAUACUUGUUAGUCUUACACUACCAUUACAAGUUGUUGUUGUUAUCUUUAACAUUCAUCAGAGUUUGUUUUUGGAUGGGUUUUUUAAAAGUUAUAGCUCAUAUUUGCAAUAAGCUAGAGCCUUGUGUGUUAUUUUGUCAUGGUGCCUAGUGUAAUUUACAUGCAUUGGUUAGCAUGUUUGUUAUUUGUUUCAACUGAUACCUUGAUAUCUUUCUCCAAUAUUAAUUUUCUUUAAAAAAAUCAAUUUUUAACUUUCUGUUUACUUUGUUCCUCUGUUGGUCGAUCACACCAUCCCACAUUUCCGCAGUUGUUCAGCCCCUUAAACAUAGGAGGGAUCCAGUCUCUCUUUUUCUUUCUUUUCCUUACCUACCAUAACAAAUUCAUCAGUGACACCUACUAGUUUUGCUUUUAUAUCUAGUCGCUUUUCUUCCUCUCCAAAGCUAUCACUGGGGACAACUGAAUAAACUGCUGAUGGACUCCCCUCUUCUCACUUAAGUGCGUUGCAUGAUUCAUUCCCUCACACCCAAGUGAUUAGAAAGAGAGUAAAUCCUAUCCUGCUGCUAUCAAGCUUCAUACUCAGAUAACAUGUCACUGUGCUUGGUGCAGACUCCUUCUGAGGACCUUCAGGGACCACAGGAGCUGAUCCUGCCAACUACUCACACUACACUCACUCUAGUCUUUUUAUAUGAGAUAAUAAAUCUCAUUGUUACUUAAGCCAUUUAAAGUUGGGUCUCAUGUUAAUUGCAGACCAAAGUAGCUUAAUUGAUGUGCUUUCUAGUUCAUUACCCUGUCCAGUUGUCUUAAUGCAGGCAAUAAAAUUUGAAAUUCCCUUGCUUAUUUAUGCAUUUCCUUGUUUUUUGUGUGUC